AAAAGAUUAAAAAAAAAGUCAUCAUAUCAAUAAAGAUAAUUCAUCGAAAAAAAAUUAAGUUCUUUGUUUAUACAUCUGUAUAUAUGGGCAUGUGUGCGAAAACAGACAAAAUGUAUGUAUGCCAAUAGAAAAGAUCACAACAAAAAAGACAAAAUACGCACCAAAGUAGUGUCUAGUCCCGUUCGUUUGUUCCCUGCUCUUCACACGAGCGCUCGUAUUUGCUGAGCGCGAGAGAGAGAGUCGUCUCAGUAUGAAUGCUGCCGAUUAUGCUUUUUUCCCGUCAGAUCUGGCUUUUUUUGAAGACCAGCGGUAGUUCUGUAUUUAUUAUAAAAAGUUGGCAGCACCUCUCAGCAUCUUUGCUGCUGUUUCUAAGAGAACCAUAGAAUGAAGGAUAAAAAGAGAACUGCCGUCGAGUAACCGCCGCGAUUGAAAGAGAGGAGAACACCAAACAACAUUUAAAUUUUGCUACCCUAUCUCCGAAUCUCCGCUAUUCGAGAAACGAUUGCUGCUGAGGAAAUUGGCAGCAGACUUUAUGGACAUCUAUUUCCACUGGACGGGACGCUGAAAACGCACAGUCAGCGUCUUUGCGGCCUCUCUGCUAAAAAGCUUCAACAUGCUUCCAUAUUUACCACUGGAGACCCUUGACAAAGUGUUCGGAUACCUGAAUGAGAAAGAGCAAGUGAAAGCGGCCCAAGUCCACCCGCAGCUUGGCCGCGCAUUUGCUUACCACGUUGGAGGGAAUUACAAGCGACUGAAUUGCUGCCAUUUUGUAGGCGACACUUUUGUACUCCGCUAUACGUACGACGAGUUUAGAGUUAUUCUGUCACUGUGCGGGUCCACUGUUGUGGAUAUUUCAAUCAAAUCUAGUGAUGUAACGGAUCGAAUUGGAGAACUAAUAGAAAAGUACUGCAUUAACCUCGAAUCUGCCUUUAUCGAGGUUACAGAUGGAAAUUUCAACGCGAUCAAACGUGUUUUAAGCAUGAAAGGGCUACACGAUCUUGUCUUGAAUUGUUACCGUUAUCGCGGAUCGGAUCUGUUGUAGCACAUAAAUCCAAACUGCACAAAAUUGUGUUUAAUGGGAAUGACUACGGACCAGGAGGAACAUUAAGGCAACAACUGUGGCACCAAAAAUGGUAUUUUAAAAUUUAUAUUCUCCGAAUUACUGGAGUCCUUUAUUCAGGUUUUAAAGGAAAACGGUUUCAGCACACAGAAACGCUUCAAAUUGGUAGGGGACUUGGAUAAAACCGAUGAACUUAAGCAGGAAUUGAUGAACAAACUGCCGAAUUCCGAAGUGUGGGACUUGAUUACAUUGACUGACAUCCAGAUUUACUGCACAUGAUUAUUAAAAUAGAUUUGCUAGAAUACUAAAUAUGUAUACCACAUAUAAGAAUUAAAACUUGUCAGUCUACCAUUUUGGGGCAAUCUCUAA